GACGAACGCUGGCGGUGUGCUUAACACAUGCAAGUGGCGCGACGAACCAGAGCUUGCUCUGGGGCAAAGCCGCGAACGGGUGAGUAACACGUGGGUAACCUGCCCCGAUGACUGGGACAACCCGGGGAAACCCGGGCUAAUACCGGAUGAUGCAUCACGGCCCACGCCGGGAUGCCAAAGGUAGCUUCGGCUUCCGCAUGGGGAGGGGCCCGCGGCCCAUUAGCCUGUUGGUGGGGUAAUGGCCUACCAAAGCAACGAUGGGUAGCUGGUCUGAGAGGACGAUCAGCCACACUGGGACUGAGACACGGCCCAGACUCCUACGGGAGGCAGCAGUGGGGAAUCUUGCGCAAUGCGCGAAAGCGUGACGCAGCAACACCGCGUGAGGGAAGACGGCCUUAGGGUUGUAAACCUCUUUCAGUUGGGACGAAGGUUCGACGGUGAAUAGCCGGCCGGACUGACGGUACCUUCAGAAGAAGCUCCGGCUAACUACGUGCCAGCAGCCGCAGUAA
rnacentral:rRNA from 1 species